GACGAACGCUGGCGGCGUGCUUAACACAUGCAAGUCGAACGGAAAGGCCCUGCUUUUGUGGGGUGCUCGAGUGGCGAACGGGUGAGUAACACGUGAGUAACCUGCCCUUGACUUUGGGAUAACUUCAGGAAACUGGGGCUAAUACCGGAUAGGAGCUCCUGCUGCAUGGUGGGGGUUGGAAAGUUUCGGCGGUUGGGGAUGGACUCGCGGCUUAUCAGCUUGUUGGUGGGGUAGUGGCUUACCAAGGCUUUGACGGGUAGCCGGCCUGAGAGGGUGACCGGCCACAUUGGGACUAAGAUACGGCCCAGACUCCUACGGGCGGCAGCAGUGGGGAAUAUUGCACAAUGGGCGGAAGCCUGAUGCAGCAACGCCGCGUGCGGGAUGACGGCCUUCGGGUUGUAAACCGCUUUCGCCUGUGACGAAGCGUGAGUGACGGUAACGGGUAAAGAAGCACCGGCUAACUACGUG
rnacentral:rRNA from 1 species